UACGUAGGGGGCUAGCGUUGUCCGGAAUCAUUGGGCGUAAAGCGCGUGUAGGCGGCCCGGUAAGUCCGCUGUGAAAGUCGGGGGCUCAACCCUCGGAUGCCGGUGGAUACUGUCGGGCUCGAGUACGGAAGAGGCGAGUGGAAUUCCUGGUGUAGCGGGUGAAAGUGCGCAGAUAUCAGGAGGAACACCAAUUGCGAAGGCAGCUCGCUGGGACGUUACUGACGCUGAGACGCGAAAGCGUGGGGAGCAAACAGG
rnacentral:rRNA from 1 species